rnacentral:rRNA from 1 species
GACGAACGCUGGCGGCGUGCUUAACACAUGCAAGUCGAACGGAAAGGCCCUGCUUUUGUUGGGUGCUCGAGUGGCGAACGGGUGAGUAACACGUGAGUAACCUGCCCUUGACUUUGGGAUAACUUCAGGAAACUGGGGCUAAUACCGGAUAGGAGCUCCUGCUGCAUGGUGGGGGUUGGAAAGUUUCGGCGGUUGGGGAUGGACUCGCGGCUUAUCAGCUUGUUGGUGGGGUAGUGGCUUACCAAGGCUUUGACGGGUAGCCGGCCUGAGAGGGUGACCGGGCACAUUGCGCCUGAGAUACGGACCAGAAUCCUACGGGAGGCAGCAGUGGAGAAUAUUGCACAAUGGGCGGACGCCUGAUGCAGCAACGCCGCGUGCGGGAUGACGGCCUUCGGGUUGUAAACCGCUUUCGAAUGUGACGAAGCGUGAGUGACGGUAAUGGGUAAAGAAGCACCGGCUAACUACGUG